UGGUGCUUUGAGUUUUUUCAUCAUUGCUUAGCUUCUAAUUAUUAACUAAUUAUAACUAACUAUUUAUUGACUUACAGGUUGCAAUGCUUUCAUGAAAUUGCCUCUGUCUUCAACUAUUUCUUGAGGUUGAACCGCAGAUAUUGGUCCGUUAUUCACCCUGGGAGGCACCAACAGCUUGAAGCUAAAACGCUGAUCUCUCUCCAUUCUGGAAUAGCCAUACAGCAAUAACCUAGUUAUUUAAUAAUGCCGUGUUUUAAACCAAGACAUCUUUAAUAAACACCACAGAAAUGCCAGAAGACUACAAAUAACUAUUAUCUUCCCUUUUUACCUAAUAUUCACAAGUCAAAUAACCCUAAACAUUAGCUAGUUAGCUAACAGUAAUUAGCUUUUUAUUUGUGAGUCAACUAGGCUCGCAGACAACAGCUAACAGUUACCUCCGGUAUAUUAGAGCAGCGUUAAUUCCCACAAAAUACAAGAUAAAAAACCAAUAAUAAUAGUCAGUAGUUUAGAAUGUUACUUAAUAAACAUCAAUGUGGUAAUUUACUAGGUACUACGUGUAAACUAUGACAUUUUUUUUAAACGUUACCUGUUAAACUUGGUUAACGGUUAUAACGCGACCACCCUGCACGAGGCGAGGAAGGACUCUUGACCAACUGUUUAAGUGAAGACUAUUCUUCUGUCGUUCAGCAGCCGAUAGUUCAGCCCCAUUCCUGCAAACAGGAAGACACUAGCAACUAUGAGGAUGAUCCCACAGCCCUGUAGUGCAAGGGCUGGUACUGACUGAAAAACUACAGACCCUACAUGCUCAUGGCUUUUCACUUACAAGCUUGAAAAGGGCUUUAUCGUCAUCUGAUUGACCAGCCCAGAGUGACAUCAUGAAGUGUCUCAUUCAUCUCAUCAGUGCAAGAACACAAACAAAACCCCUGGUGGUCUUCCAGUCUCAAAGCACAAGAGAAAAGAAUGGCUCACCUCCGCCGUACGUGACGGCUAACAUGAUGGAGGAGAUCCAGGACACCUGGCUACUUGUCACAUUGAAGAUCACCUCAAUCUCUUUGAAGAAGACAGUGAUGGACUUGGGAAAUGCGUAGGAGAAGCCAAUAGAGAUGAAGGCUCCAAUCACCACCAUCCAUCCCCAGCCACCCUCAGGUGGUGUGUAGCCUUGAGGACCACCGACGGCUGGUGGCAUUGUUCUUCGCAAAUCUCCUCUUAAAACUCAAGAAAUUUUACAGAUACAAUGACUGUUUAGGAG